rnacentral:snoRNA from 1 species
AACCCGUGCAUCAGACAGUUUCGAAUUACAUCUUUAAAUCGUUCCCAAGCUUCAUAUAGUGUUUUAUCCUCCAUUGCCAAAAAGAUGUAAUGUCAUUUCUAAGCUU